rnacentral:sRNA from 1 species
AUAUAGCCCCGAUUGAGCGGUUAUCCUUUUUCUUGCUUCUUUAGCAAGGAAAAGAUAAGAGCGAAAGCGGGACAUCAC